GACGAACGCUGGCGGCGUGCCUAAUACAUGCAAGUCGAACGCAGUGGGGACGGGUGAGUAACACGUGGGUAACCUCCCAUCAGAGGGGAUAACACUUGGAAACAGGUGCUAAACCGAUACUGAUGGAUGGACACGGGGUGCAUUAGCUAGUAGGUGAGGUAACGGCCCACCGAGGCCACGAUGCAUAGCGGGCCUGAGAGUGUGACCAGCCACACUGGAACUGAGACACGGCCCAGACUCCUACGGGAGCCAGCAGUGGGGAAUCUUCGGCAAUGGACGAAAGCCUGACCGAGCAACGCCGCGUGAGUGAAGAAGGUUUUCGGGUCGUAAAGCUCUGUUGUUGGGGACGCGGUAUCUGACCAGGAAGCCACGGCUAACUACGUGCCAGCAGCCGCGGUAAUAC
rnacentral:rRNA from 1 species